rnacentral:misc_RNA from 1 species
AGGGAUCAUUACCGAGGACUGGCGGCUCUCUGGGCCGCCGCCUCACCACACUUUGCUUAAACCCCCCCUUCACGGGGUCCCUGCUUCGGCCGACGGCCGGCUGGGAGGGAGGAUGCUCCCACCCGGCCGGCCCAAGGCCUGCGGCGGGGUCCCCGAAACUUAAACCCGAGUAUCCGUGGGUCUGAGCGGUGAGAGCCGAACCAAACACAACCUGCAACGAUGGAUCUCUUGGCUCUG